rnacentral:rRNA from 1 species
AACGAGAAGAACCUUACCAAAUCUUGACAUCCUUUGACAACUCUAGAGAUAGAGCCUUCCCCUUCGGGGGACAAAGUGACAGGUGGUGCAUGGUUGUCGUCAGCUCGUGUCGUGAGAUGUUGGGUUAAGUCCCGCAACGAGCGCAACCCUUAAGCUUAGUUGCCAUCAUUAAGUUGGGCACUCUAAGUUGACUGCCGGUGACAAACCGGAGGAAGGUGGGGAUGACGUCAAAUCAUCAUGCCCCUUAUGAUUUGGGCUACACACGUGCUACAAUGGACAAUACAAAGGGCAGCGAAACCGCGAGGUCAAGCAAAUCCCAUAAAGUUGUUCUCAGUUCGGAUUGUAGUGUGCAA